rnacentral:rRNA from 1 species
GACGAACGCUGGCGGCGCGCUUAACACAUGCAAGUCGAGCGAUGAAACUUUAACAGAACCCUUCGGAGCGAAGAUAAAGUGGAUUAGCGGCGGACGGGUGAGUAACACUUUAGUAACCUGCCUUAGACGUUGGGAUAGCCUCGGGAAACCGGGAUUAAUACCACAUAAAAUCAUAAUAACACAUGUCAUAACGAUCAAAACUCCGGUGGUCUUAGAUGGACUCGCGUCCAAUUAGCAAGGUGGUAGAGUAAAAGCCUACCAAGGCGACGAUGGGUCGCCGGCCUGAGAGGGUGCGCGGCCACCUUGGAAGGGAGACACGGUCCAAACUCCUACGGGAGGGAGCGGUGGCGUAUAGUGGCAACUGGGGGUAACUGUUGUACGUCGACGCCGCGUAAACCACUAAGGCUUUCGAGUCGUAAAGUUCUAUGAAAUGAGAAGAGAAUGGCCGUACCAUAAGCAAAAGCCCCGGCCAACUUCGUU